AUUAACGCUGGCGGACAGGCUUAAUACAUGCAAGUUGAGGGGCAGCAUGAUAUACGCGAGUAUAUUGAUGGCGACCGGCGGACGGGUGAGUAAUAGGUAGGAGACCUACCUCAUACAGGGGGAUAGCAUAGAGAAAUCUGUGGUAAUACCCCAUGAGGUUAUAUGAAUAGAGGCAUAUAAUCAAAGCAUAAGCGAUUAUGCGGUAUGAGAGGGGCCUACUGACCAUUAGCUAGUUGGUGAGGUAAGGGCUCACCAAGGCGAAGAUGGUUAGGGGUUUUGAGAGAGAGACCCCCCACAUUGGAACUGAGAGACGGUCCAGACUCCUACGGGAGGCAGCAGUAGGGAAUAUUGGGCAAUGGGCGAAAGCCUGACCCAGCCAUGCCGCGUGAAGGAAGACGGCCUUAUGGGUUGUAAACUUCUUUACUACGCGAAUAGAGGUUAGUACGAGAUACUAAUAGGAAGGUAGUGUAGUAAAAAGCACCGGCUAACUCCGUG
rnacentral:rRNA from 1 species